GACGAACGCUGGCGGCGUGCUUAACACAUGCAAGUCGAACGGAAAGGCCCCUUUGGGGGUACUCGAGUGGCGAACGGGUGAGUAACACGUGAGUAACCUGCCCUUGACUUCGGGAUAACUUCAGGAAACUGGGGCUAAUACCGGAUAGGAAUCCUUGCUGCAUGGUGGGGGUUGGAAAGCUUCGGCGGUUUUGGAUGGACUCGCGGCUUAUCAGCUUGUUGGUGGGGUAGUGGCUUACCAAGGCUUUGACGGGUAGCCGGCCUGAGAGGGCGACCGGCCACAUUGGGACUGAGAUACGGCCCAGACUCCUACGGGAGGCAGCAGUGGGGAAUAUUGCACAAUGGGCGGAAGCCUGAUGCAGCAACGCCGCGUGCGGGAUGACGGCCUUCGGGUUGUAAACCGCUUUCAGCAGGGGCGAAGCUUGUGGUGACAGUACCUGCAGAAGAAGCACCGGCUAACUACGUG
rnacentral:rRNA from 1 species